CACGUAGGGCGCAAGCGUUGUCCGGAAUUAUUGGGCGUAAAGGGCUCGUAGGCGGUUUGUCGCGUCGGGAGUGAAAACUCAGGGCUUAACCCUGAGCCUGCUUCCGAUACGGGCAGACUAGAGGUAUGCAGGGGGAGAGCGGAAUUCCUGGUGUAGCGGUGAAAUGCGCAGAUAUCAGGAGGAACACCGGUGGCGAAGGCGGGUCUCUGGGCCGAUACUGACGCUGAGGAGCGAAAGCGUGGGGAGCGAACAGG
rnacentral:rRNA from 1 species